rnacentral:rRNA from 1 species
GGAGAUAGCUGGUUCUCUCCGAAAUAGCUUUAGGGUUAGCCUCGGAGGAUGGAUCAUGGAGGUAGAGCACUGUUUGAACUAGGGGCCCAUCAAGGGUUACUGAAUUCAGAUAAACUCCGAAUACCAUUGAUCUUACUCCGGGAGUCAGACAGUGAGCGAUAAGGUCCAUUGUCGAAAGGGGAACAGCCCAGAUCACCAGUUAAGGUCCCUAAAUUUAUGCUAAGUGGAAAAGGAUGUGGCGUUGCACAGACAACU